UUUUUUUACAUCAGCCACUGUCACAAAGUGCUGUCCAGAAAGGCCCCCCGCUACUUGGAAACGGGGACGACUCUUUGAAGAGUCAGAAGCAGAGGAAUCAAGAGGACGGUUGUCGUGUCCUUGGCGGUAGAAAGGCGAACUGAAAGUGAAAUAGUGAACCAGCCUAACAAGGAAGCCAGACAUUGAACCGUUUUGUAGCCACUUCUCUAGUUGCAAUUUCAUUGAUUUGUGAUAUCGCAGCCGGACGUUUCUGCAAACACCUCGUUAGUAUGUAACUAGUUAGCGGACACUGGACGUGUUGUAUAUGUUUGCUUGCCAGAUAUCUAACGUUACUGUUACCUUUUGACAUUGUGUUAUUAAAGUCAGUCGAUAGAUACUAAAACUAGGUGUAAUAAUCUUCCACAACCAUGGAAUAUAUGACAGCCGUCCAGAAGAAGAGACGCCACGAAGGAGACCUUCAAACCCGGAAAGAUUGCCAAGCGAAACGACUGUGCAACGGAGUGGGAGUCUGCGUCCGGGUUGAACAUGGCGGGAUGGUGACUGACGGUGCCAUGGAUGCCAGCAUGCAACAGCAGGGUGUCCCAAACAGCGGUGUCGGCAUCAACCACCCAGCUUCUAACAUGGUAGAUAUGCGUAUUCAAUUAUUUUGGAAUAUAUAUAUUUUGGGGGGCAUAUUCAACUAUUUUGGAUACUUUUGUUGCUCCAGUCUAGGCCUAUAUUUGAAAGGAGUUGGCCUCCCACAUGCAUUUGCAGGAGUGUUUUUACGGUCCAUGUUUUCCUCCUUGAAUCAUGAUGACGCUGGAGUCGUAAUAAAGGUUCAUAGGUCAAGCAGUAAGGGACACUAGGCGUAUCCAUGACAACAUGCUUCCUCAAUAUCUGUAUCUCUAUAAGGUGUACCCUUGGCUAUCUUUACGACAGUUUUUUUUCCUCAAUGCUGGUGAUGUCAAGGAAGCAAUAACUGUUUGGGAAAUUGCAUCUCAUCCUUACCCAAGGAAUGUGGCUAGUGCCACACUGUUGACAUUUUAUAUUUGAAUAUCUUUUCACUCCACUGUGGAUUUGUCCUUCUGUCAUAAUUCGUUUUACUUUGAAUAGUCUUGUCUUCUAUGCAGUGUUUAUCCUCAAAAAUGUUUUAUUGCAGAACUACAAUAUGACAAUCCAUUAAGUAAUCGAGUGUACUUAUUGCCGUAGUAACCCUCCAGGCUCGUGUUGUCUCUUGUACAGGUCUAUGCAGUCCAAGGCAGCCAAUGUUGUAAUCGGUGCCUGGCAGGGGAGCCCGUAAGUAGUGUCCUGAUGUUUUGCCUGAACAUGUCCCAGUAGUGACUGAUGUCAGUGUCUAGGCCUAAACCCAGCAUUUUGUACACCAAAACUAAUGUCUCAUCAGUGGCAAUCGGGAUUUAACAGCUAUAGCACAUAUAGUCAAACAUUCCUAAUAACUAAUAUGGGAUAUUAUGUCUCUUACUUUGGGGACAAUUGUUGCACCUAUAAAAUCAACAUAAUAAAAGAUGCCUAUUUUAGAAGGGCUGUCCCUCGGGCUAAAGAACCUACCAUAUUGACCAUGGAGCCCUUUGCUGUUCAUGCUCACCUUGGGCCGAGUCGACGUUCUGGACUUUUUCAUGUUAAACGGGUUAAUCAGUCCCUCCAGGUUUCUGCAAUUAUUUGUAUUUAUUUAUUGCUAAAUCAAUAAUUCCCUGCGUAUUAUGCGGGGACUUGUACAUUUGACCAAUCACUGCACUCUUUCCACGUGCGACAGUCAAAUCAUCGCAAUGUUGUCACAUAAACCAGGCCCAUCGCCCGCAGUACAAAAAUAGGGCUUGCAAUUUCAACCAAUCAGAGUACAUUUACUACAUAAUGUGUUUAAAUGAAGCCACGCAUCAACAAAUCUUCCCCCCCGUCAGCUCAGUUUCACGACAAAUUGGACUAAAUCAUAGCCAUGCAAAAUGUCAGGAUUGCCGCAGCAAAGUCAAGCCGUUUGCUCUGCAAAAAUCCCAUCAGAAUGCUGGAGGGACUGAUUAAUGAACAUGACAUGGGUUCAGUCCCAAAUGGCACCCUAUUCCCUAUAUAGUGCACUACCCUGUUCCCCACGUAGUGCACUACCCUGUUCCCCACGUGGUGCACUACCCUGUUCCCCACGUAGUGCACUACCCUGUUCCCCACGUAGUGCACUACCCUGUUCCCCACGUGGUGCACUACCCCGUUCCCCACGUAGUGCACUACCCCGUUCCCCACGUGGUGCACUACCCUGUUACCCACGUAGUGCACUACCCUGUUACCCACGUGGUGCACUACCCUGUUCCCCACGUGGUGCACUACCCUGUUCCCCCACGUGUGCACUACCCUGUUCCCCACGUAGGGCACUACCCUGUUCCCCUAUAUAUGCACUACCCUGUUCCCCACAUAGUGCACUACCCUGUUCCCCUAUAUAGUGCACUACAUAGUGGAGAGGGUGCCAUUUGGAAUGCUACCAUCAUGUAAACGGUUAAUUCCAUAAAGAUUACCUGUGUCACAUAAUGAGUCUCUUCUCAGGGCCACAUUAACCACAUCAUGGGGUAUUGAUCGGUUAUCGUCAUGAUCAGAGAUCGUUUGAAGAACUGAAGGAUCCUUGAGGAUGAAGAGAAUGAUCGAUUGAUUGAGUGCUUGAUCAAGUCAUUGUGUAUGUGGCUGUGAACCGUUUUAUCAGUGUGCCUUGCCUUUUCUAGCUGUUAUUAACCACAAGCACUGUACUGCUUCAUGUAUAGCCUCGCAUGUUUACACUACCUAACACUGGGUAUGGGGGAAAUGGCUACUAACCAGACAGUAGACAUGGUGAUUUCAUACCGUCUUACUAACAUUCUGUUUGAAUGGAAAGAUAACCACUACAGUGUAGUCUACACACAACCAUAAGGAAGGAGCCAUCAAGCCACAAGUAAUACUGAAACUUUACACUGUAAUGUGGAUACUCCUUUAAUGUCAAUGGAUGUAUUAAAUGAAAUAAAAUACGUAUUGUCCCAGUAUCAAGACUGCUUUCUAAAGCUGCCAGAAAAUAUAAAUGUAAAUAGUAAUAUUGAUAAGUUAAAAACUUUUUAAAGUUAUAUAAUUGUUAACCUUUUUUUGAAAUGGAUAAUCCUGUCUGCAAAUAUAUUUUUCUGAAAUAAAUAUUUGAUAUAUUUUUCUAAAAUGUAAUUGGCUGAAUAUAAAAUAAGAAGUUUGUAACCAAUAUUUGUGCUAAUCGUUUCAUUUUGGAUAGUGUCCUGAAUUGUGUUUAAUCUCAUGAACGUUUUCAGCCAGUUUUCAAUAGUUUGAUCUACACUUGAAAUGUAGAGCCGUUUUGACAAGGAUUUGUCUGUUUCCCACUAGAUGUGGUUUUGUGUCGUCUUAGAAUGAUUUGAAGCCAGUUUCCACCUUGCCAAGCAGUGAGUUUUAUAGUUGAUGCUGUUCAAUUUCAGGUUAUGACUCAAUGUAAUAGUUUUAUUUUUAGUACAAGGAAAAACAACUUUCAAUAAAGUAUGAUUUGAUGAACAA
ensembl:lncRNA